CCCAGCUCCCUUCCCUUCCCUGCACACGCUCCAGCCCCUCCAGGUCUCUCUUCCAUGAGGUUCCAGACCUGGACAUAGCCCUGGAGGGGCCUCUCAGAAAACAUGAUGGAGUUUCCCCCUUAACUGACCCUAAAACCUGGGCCACUACUGUGAAACCAGAAGGAAAGCAUCAGCCAGCAACUGUUAAAUUGCACAAAUGUUGUGAAAGUGAAAACAAAUCACUGACCUAACUACAAAAGUUAAAAUGACAGCAAAGAAGGAUUUUCCUUCAUCUCUAAAGCAAAGCUGAAACUCUGAAACUCCUUGUGCCCCAGCUCCCUCCUCUGGUGCCCAGUCAAAACUUCUGCACAAACUUGAGGCAGAACAAACUACAGUGAGCAGCUCUUCAAAGAAUUACAAAUUAAAACCAAGAGUAGUCGUAGAAAGUGGCAGCAGCUUAAACUGGAAGUUCUAAGGCAUCAUAGGAUGGUUUAAAUUGGAAGGGAACUUAAAGGAUCAACUCAUUCCAACCCCCUGCCAUGGGCAGGGACACCUUCCACCAGCCCAGGUUGCUCCAAGCCCUGUCCAACCUGGCCUUGGACACUUCCAGGGAUCCAGGGGCAGCCACAGCUUCUCUGGGAAUUCUAUCCCAGCCCCUCCCCACCCUCACAGCCAGGAAUUCCUUCCCAAUAUCCCAUCUAACCCUGUUCUUUAUCAGUUGGAAGCCAUUCCCCCUUGUCCUGUCCCUCCAGCCCUUGGAAAUAGUCUCUCUCCAUUUUUCCUGUAGCUCCUUCAGGCCCUGCAAGGCCACAAUCAGGUCCCCCCAAAGCUUCUCCUCUCCAGGCUGAACAAUCCCAGCUCUCCCAGCCUUUCCUCCCAGCAGAGCUGCUCCAGCCCUCGGAUCUUUUUGGUGGCCUAAAAAGCCAUCAAAUAAUUAUCCCAUUUUCAUUUCUUACCUGAACAGCCACCAUCCUUACAUGGGGGUUGCUCUUCAUUCCAGGUUUGCUUUUGUUUCCUUUUUCCACCUUAACAACCUGUUUACCAUUUUCAGCUUCAUCUGAACUACCUGGAGCAGCCAAAUUCUCUUUAUCCGAGUUCUCCAACCGGUCCCAGGGGUCUUCACACGUUUGGAUUUCAGUUGGGAUGAAAUCAUCACGGACAUAUUUUCUGACUGGAAUUGCUGAUUCCUGAUUAUCCUGAGGAGCUGCAGGAUCAGCAUAGAUAUAACCAGGCUGCCUGGCAACAUGUGGCAGGACAGGCACUGGAGAAGGCACAGGCAAUAUCCUUCCAUACUGGUAACCCCAGGAAGUCUGAGGCAAAAAUAUGGGACUUGUAGAAUCCAGGUUUUUUAGUAAAACGUCUGCGAACGACGACUUGUUUUCCAUGGAAUCAAUACUCUGGCUUUGCAAGGAAUUCCUGGAUCUCCAGGAAGCAGGGAAGGAAGAAUAGGGCAAAUAUUGUAGAGUCUCAUAACUUAAAUCAGGUGAUGGUGGUAUAUGGGGUUGAACAGGGUAGGACUGGGGCUUGAAUUCCUCAGCAUCUGGAUUUAACCGGAGGUUUUUCUGGGAAUGAUUCCCUUGCACAUUCCCACCUAUAUAAUUUUCAUUUCUGUUUGUAUUUCCCUCAAAGAAGACCGAGUGCUUCUUUAAACAAAUCAGAUUAUCCACCAUAAUGAAACGAAGGGAUUUCAGAAGGAAAGGUUCCAGGCCACCCUGAUCCUCCACGACCUUUCGAGUUUCCUCAGGGAAAUUUUCAUAUUCCCCAACUAGUAAUUUAUUAUUAAUUUCCAGAGGGCCAUGCUCAUCCAAGAUUUGAGUGAAAUACCUGAAAAAAAAAAUUUAAAAAUUGUUAUUUUUAAUCCAAGUUUUUUUAAUUUCAUUCUAAACUUGUAUUUCAGUGUAUUAGUCCACACCUUUAUGGACACACCUACAUACACCAGACCCCCCAAAUUAUGGACUUAAUGCAAUAAAUGAUAAGAAUUAUGAAGUAAAAUUAAACCCUUGAAUUUGCUGAGCACAGAAAUUCAUACUUACUCAUAUAAACUCUCAGAGAUUGGAUCUGGAUUAUUAUAACUGUUACUAUUUGAAACUUCAUAGAGAGCUUCAAAUUCCUCCAGCUGCUUCUGGAGAUAUUCUGGGAUUACAAAUGGUUCAUUUGUAAAAUCUGUGUAUCUUAAAAACAAUAAAAAAAAAAGAAAGUUAACCCAGA